rnacentral:rRNA from 1 species
CCAAUAGCGUAUAUUAAAGUUGUUGCAGUUAAAAAGCUCGUAGUUGAAUUUCGGGAUUGACACAUCGGUCGUGCCUUAAGGGGUAUGAACUGGUGUAGUCAAUUUCUCACCUUCUGGAGAACCGCGAUGCCCUUAAUUGGGUGUCGCGGGGAACCAGGACCUUUACUUUGAAAAAAUUAGAGUGUUUAAAGCAGGCAUUUUGCUUGAAUACAUUAGCAUGGAAUAAUAAAAUAGGACGGCAUGAUUCUAUUUUGUUGGUUUCUAGGAUCACCGUAAUGAUUAAUAGGGAUAGUUGGGGGCAUUAGUAUUCAAUUGUCAGAGGUGAAAUUCUUGGAUUUAUUGAAGACUAACUACUGCGAAAGCAUGUGCCAAGGAUGUUUUCAUUAAUCAAGAACGAAAGUUAGGGGAUCGAAGACGAUCAGAUACCGUCGUAGUCUUAACCAUAAACUAUGCCGACUAGGAAUCAGACGAUGUUAAUUUUUUAAUGACUCGUUUGGCACCUUACG